CUUUUGGACUUUGGUAACUACGUUUGUAUGACGGUAAGGUGCAAACAUUUCUGGUCGAUGAUGUGAGGCGUUUUUGAAAUAAAAACAGUAUUAUUUUAUUUUUUUGAAACGAAAGAACAUUGAUCAGAAUAUGCUUGAUCAUGAAAUGGUUGUUUAUAACCGAUAUUUGUUAACAUUCUGACAAACAACGUAGUAACCGAGACACCGUUUCCCAGUUUAUCACGAGGAACAUCCGGUGUUAAACUUCAACGUUUCUUGGUUUAAAUUGUGGAAUUGCAAGUGGUGCUGAACCAUGUAGCCAAGAUGUGCACAACCACUACUCAUGGGAUUUUGCCCAGCAAGUCCACUAUCCACAUCAUGCCAACAAGUUGGGCCGAUAUAUUUCGCCACCCCACAGAAGUGUCAUGUGUUUCGCAUGUGUGCCUUAGGUUCAGCUAUGUUUUUAUGGAAAGUAGACAUUUUAUCUGGUGGACGAGGCCUAAUUGCCGGGGAAAGGAAGUGACAGUGUCGUGAGCCUGGCCCACCACUACUUUCAGCACUAUGGUGUCGGUGAAAAACAUGCUGAGGUUUAUUUCGAUAAUGCUGUCGGCCAAAACAAGAACAAUGCUGUGCUUUGGUAUGCCAUGUGACCUGUAAUGACAGGUAAGUUUUCUUAUCUGUUAAUAAUUGUUUGUCUGAUUUUUUAGGACAAAUGCACUGUCUUUUGAAAUCAAUCACAUCAUUGAUAUCUGCGAUUGGUGCUUUAAUUUUAAAGGAUGCAGAACUGGAUGAAGUUAAAGUGUAGUUGGCAGUAAUUUGAUAUGAGGAAUAUGUUAACUAAAUAAACAUAUGUUAACACUCCAUUAUUGUAAGAUUUAUAUGUCUUGAAAACUUUAUUAUA